rnacentral:lncRNA from 1 species
CAAUUUCAUCUAGCCACUGCCGGAGAUUGAGGCAAGAGGGAAAUUACUUGAAAAUAUUGCAGGUGAAAAUAUGAGAGAGUAUCAUCGAAACUAGUAAUGAGUAAAAACAGCAGACCUCGUUGAAUGCAGGUUCUCUGUCUAUGCUCGGCUUGUAUGUCGAUCUCAACAUACUAAAAAGUGGGUAUGCAUCUCUCUGCAAACUGUAAGUGGAACAAAUUAAGUUUCUUUCUCCAGAAAUUGGAUGUUAUCAGCUUGAAAUUGAGUGAAAGGAUCCGGCAGUGGUGAUUACAAGCUCACUCACGUUUGCAAAAGAUAAGAGAUGAAAU